GUGGGGAAUCUUCCACAAUGGACGAAAGUCUGAUGGAGCAACGCCGCGUGAGUGAAGAAGGGUUUCGGCUCGUAAAGCUCUGUUGUCGGGGACGAAUGUGCAGUAUUUGAAUAAAGUACUGUAAUGACGGUACCUGACGAGGAAGCCACGGCUAACUACGUGCCAGCAGCCGCGGUAAUACGUAGGUGGCAAGCGUUGUCCGGAAUUAUUGGGCGUAAAGGGAGCGCAGGCGGGAAGGUAAGUCGGUCUUAGAAGUGCGGGGCUCAACCCCGUGAUGGGAUCGAAACUAUCUUUCUUGAGUGCAGGAGAGGAAAGUGGAAUUCCUAGUGUAGCGGUGAAAUGCGUAGAUAUUAGGAGGAACACCAGUGGCGAAGGCGACUUUCUGGACUGUAACUGACGCUGAGGCUCGAAAGCCAGGGGAGCGAACGGGAUUAGAAACCCCAGUAGUCC
rnacentral:rRNA from 1 species